AGAGUUGUAGCAAUACGGCUCUUAGUGGCGAAUGGGUGCGUAACACGUAGGUGACCUGCCCCGAAGUGUGGAAUAACAGUCCGAAAGGACUGCUAAUACCGCAUGUGGUCCCAAGGGUUAGAGGCCUUGGGUCUAAAGUAGUAAUGCGCUUCGGGAGGGGCCUGCGGCCCAUCAGCUAGUUGGUAGGGUAACGGCCUACCAAGGCGAUGGCGAGGUAGGGGACCCGAGAGGGUGGCCCCCCACAUUGGCACUGACUCAUCGGGCCAAACUGAUACGGGAGGCAUCAGCUCAUCUGAUGGUAACUCANUCCUCCCGGAGAUCUGCG
rnacentral:sRNA from 1 species